CUCUGAUGGCGGUCAAGCCCCGAACUCUGACCACAAAGGGAAUAACAUCUGUCAAGUUAUUUGUGUUGGAAAAUCCCGAUUGGUUUUUUUGAACUACCAGAAAGGAUUCUGGAGAACCACUGACGGCGAGAACAGCCCAAAUGAGAUCCUGGAUGAUCGUGAAAUGGUGUGGCCAGCCAUGCGAUCGGAUUGUGGAACUUGCCUGAGAAACUGAUUCAAGCAACCCUGGAUUUCAGAUAAGCCCUAUGCACUACUUUUCCUACCCGGAUAAUAGGGUCUGCACACUGACAAUUCCCCUACAGUACACCUGUUUGGGUUUCAACGACUUUAAAGGACAAUUCAGACUGGACAAUUCAAACUUCACAAGAGGAACACUUUAAUCUGUUUCAUUCAUUCAAAAGAGCUCUGAUACAAUUCAGUAUAAGUCUUCCAUUUAAGUGUCUUUAUUUUAUUUUGUUCUGUUUUACAUCUAUUCACCUUCAAAAUGCACUAUUAGUGUGCAAUUUGGUUUAUUGUGUUGUACAUGUUAUGAAUGGUACUGAGGCAAUAAAGGUCCCAGUUAUUCACUUCCAAGCCAACUCCUUUUGUGAGUCUCCAAAACAAAACCUCCUUCUGAACCUAGAAAGAUGUCUAGGGUCUCUAUUUGAGGUGAAAGUGUACUGGUCCUGAGUAGAGGCGCUACACAUGCUUCACUUAAUUUUGUCAAUAUAUGAAUAAGUGUCAUGGUAUCAUCUACAUAUAGCCAUGCAAAGAUUAUCUGUCACACCGUUGUCAAGAGGACCAGUAAAACUCUGUGUCACUCAAAUUGAUCCAUACAGAGCCUUCAUUCUGCGUUUGCCAUUAAUAGAUACAACCACAGAGCAAUAAUGUGACUUUUUCGAAAAAAUGACUUUUUGUGAAACAGGGAUAUCUUCUUCACCAGUUUCUGGGCAAACUAUUCCUCACCUUAUUAAAAUUUAC
ensembl:lncRNA